rnacentral:SRP_RNA from 1 species
AAUUCGGUCUCACGCAAUGGGAAUCCGCGAACCGUGUCAGGUUGGGAACAAAGCAGCACUAAGCGGAAGCUCUCAUGUGCCGUGAGGGUGCCGGGUGGAG